rnacentral:tRNA from 1 species
GGGGUUCUGGUGUAAUUGGUAGCACGUCAGCCUUGCACGUUGUUAGUAGCGGUUCAAGUCCGCUGAACUCCA